GUAGCAUGUCGUGCGGCGGAUGACUUGCCUGGGGUUAGCCCCACCAGUACCUAAGGUAACAACAGAAUCUUUUAACAGACAAAGAAAGACAAAAAUCAUGGGGAUGUGGUGGUGUUCAGUCUAGUUCAAAAUCAUGUAGCAGUGUACAUUCAAGCCAUAGAAAAGAGAAUAUUCAUGAGGAAUACAAGGCACAGCGAGCUUUGCCGUAAUCCCAGUAACAGUCAUCAUCCCUCAAGGGUCCUCGCUUAGCUGUAAUGGCACAAAGAUGGACAUCAUGCCACAUCUCAAGCCAUAACUCUCGCAUUAGCACCGGUGAUCUCACAAUGUUCCUGUGAUUUGCUACACAAAGAUUUUGUCAGUUUACUUUUAUGUAUCCCUGUCAUAAACUACCUUUGUAAAGGACAUGCAAACAAUGGCCUGGCAGUUCAAAUCUCUCUAUUCCAUA